GAUGAACGCUGGCGGCGUGCCUAAUACAUGCAAGUCGAGCGAUCAGACUAGGAGCUUCCUCCUCACACGUUAGCGGCAGACGUGUGAGUAACACGUGGAUAACCUACCUAUAAUACUGAUAUGCCUGCGGGAAACCGGAUCUAAUCCCGUAUAAUCUAGUGAACCGCAUGGUUCAGUAAUGAAAUACGGUUUUGCGGUCACUUAUAGAUCUAUCCGCUCCUCAUUAGCUAGUUGGUCAGGUAAGGCCUUACCAAGGCAACGAAGCGUGUCCGAGGGCAGAGGGUGAUAGGCCACACUGGAAGUGAGACACGGUCCAGACUACUACGGGAGGGCGCAGAAGGGAAUGUUCCGCAAUGGGCGAAAGCCUGACGGAGCAAGGCCGCGUGAGUGACGAAGGCGUUGGGAUCGUAAAACCCUGCUAUUAGGGAAGAACAACUGUGUACGUAAACAUGCACUUUUUGACGGUACCUAAUCAGAAAGCCCCGGCUAACUACGUG
rnacentral:rRNA from 1 species